UGGGGAAUAUUGGACAAUGGGCGAAAGCCUGAUCCAGCCAUGCCGCGUGUGUGAAGAAGGUCUUCGGAUUGUAAAGCACUUUAAGUUGGGAGGAAGGGCAGUAAGCGAAUACCUUGCUGUUUUGACGUUACCGACAGAAUAAGCACCGGCUAACUCUGUGCCAGCAGCCGCGGUAAUACAGAGGGUGCAAGCGUUAAUCGGAAUUACUGGGCGUAAAGCGCGCGUAGGUGGUUCGUUAAGUUGAAUGUGAAAGCCCCGGGCUCAACCUGGGAACUGCAUCCAAAACUGGCGAGCUAGAGUAGGGCAGAGGGUGGUGGAAUUUCCUGGGUAGCGGUGAAAUGCGUAGAUAUAGGAAGGAACACCAGUGGCGAAGGCGACCACCUGGGCUCAUACUGACACUGAGGUGCGAAAGCAUGGGGAGCAAACAGG
rnacentral:rRNA from 1 species